UGGUGCUGGCACAGGUGCCGGUGGUGGUGUUGCUGGUGCGGGUGCAGGUACUUCCUUAGCUGGAGCUGGUGCUGGUGGUGGUGUUGCUGGAGCUGGUGCUGGAGACACUUGUGGUGGCGGUGUAGCUGGUGGUGGUAUUGGAGUGGCAGCUGGAGAACUUUGUGGUGGUUGUGGUGGUGGAACUACUGGGGUGGUAGCUGGUGCGACUUUAGGAGAUGGUGAUGAUAUAGGAGUGGUUGCAGUUGGGGGUGUCACUGCACUUGCUGGUGAUUGUGUUGGAGUGGUUGGUGUGGUUGUGGGUGGAGGUGUGGUGGUUGUAGGUGUUGAUGGCGAAACAGCUGGUGUUUGGGCAUCAGUAAUAGCUAGUGGGAAACUCAGACAUGCCAAGAUGAGAGCCCAAAGCACCGAAGCCAUUUAGUUGUGAUGAGAAUCAACAGGAAGACGUAACAUUGUUAUAUAGAGUUAUGGAAAGGCUUUUAAAUUUAGUAAAUGUUUGGUGGAAUGUUAAGAGGGAG
rnacentral:lncRNA from 1 species